GAUGAACGCUGGCUACAGGCUUAACACAUGCAAGUCGAGGGGAAACGACGGGGAAGCUUGCUUCCCCGGGCGUCGACCGGCGCACGGGUGAGUAACGCGUAUCCAACCUGCCUCUGACUGAGGGAUAACCCGUCGAAAGUCGGCCUAAUACCUCAUGGUAUCGUCUGCGGGCAUCCAACGACGAUUAAAGAUUUCAUCGGUCAGGGAUGGGGAUGCGUCUGAUUAGCUUGUUGGCGGGGUAACGGCCCACCAAGGCUACGAUCAGUAGGGGUUCUGAGAGGAAGGUCCCCCACAUUGGAACUGGGACACGGGCCACACUCCUACGGGAGGCAGCAGUGAGGAAGAUUGGUCAAUGGGCGAGAGCCUGAACCAGCCAAGUAGCGUGCAGGAAGACGGCCCUAUGGGUUGUAAACUGCUUUUAGGCGGGGAUAAAGUGAGGGACGUGUCCCUCAUUGCAGGUACCGCAUGAAUAAGGACCGGCUAAUUCCGUG
rnacentral:rRNA from 1 species